GGCAUGAUUGGUUUCAACCAAUGACCCACAAAAGAUGGCGUGUCCCAUAGUGAGAUGUCUUCCUCAUCUCCUUCAGAGAAACGGGGUUACAUACCGUUACGCAAAGUUACCUAUUGUUUGAACAGGUAGAUGACUAUCACUCUGUCCACCAAAUGCUGAUGGAGGCCAUUGCAGAUCAUUCUCAUCACAUCCGUAACAUGCUGGAGAAGGCAGAGGACGCACAACUCAUGGGGGACAAGUUAGUGAAGCCACAACAACCACCAUGAUUUCUCUGCUUGGCUUUUCUUUUCAUCCCUUCAUCUUUUUGCAUGACAGGAGGAACAUGAAGAAGCUCUACAUUGAGCUCUAUGACCUGAAGAGAGACCUGAUCAAUGAGUACAAGAUCGGAUCCAACAAUCACAAUGCUCUUAAGUCUGUCAACCAAGCCCAUUCAGAGGGCAGGGAGACUGAGAGUGGGUAAGCCGAAGAAUCAGGUUAUCACAGCCUGCCGGGACGCUAUCAAAAACAACAAUGUCAAUGCCCUGUUCAAGAUCACGAGAGCAGGCACAGCCUCUUCCUGAUGGUACCCCCUGUGUGAGAGGGAGGAGCCAGUCCGGGGGGAGCCAGGAGAGGAGGAUUUAUAAGUGUGAAGAAAGUCUAGUUCACUAGUGGCAAGGCCUGAAGAAAAGCACCCCAAGAUGUCAUAUUGGUCAGCAGUGAUGUUUUAGAAGAGUCAGUGGGUGGGAGUAACUGUCAUGUUGUAAAUGUGGUUUUCUAGCCAAAUAAAUCUAUACUCCUUUAAUGUUAAAUGGGACCAGCAUUGUGUGACACACGUUUACAUUUUGUAGGUUGUAAAUAGACAGGGAACUUUGUGUGUGCAGAAAAUGUAACUCUAAAAUGAAAUGGUCUUUUGACUUAAUAUGUCUGUUUUUUGUUUUCAUUGUAGUAUUUUCAUUCAAGUCUUGUUGGUUGAAUAAAUGUCUUCAAUGUCUCUCAGGACA